GACGAACGCUGGCGGCGUGCUUAACACAUGCAAGUCGAACGGAAAGGCCCUGCUUUUGUGGGGUGCUCGAGUGGCGAACGGGUGAGUAACACGUGAGUAACCUGCCCUUGUCUUUGGGAUAACUUCAGGAAACUGGGGCUAAUACCGGAUAGGAGCUCCUGCUGCAUGGUGGGGGUUGGAAAGUUUCGGCGGUUGGGGAUGGACUCGCGGCUUAUCAGCUUGUUGGUGGGGUAGUGGCUUACCAAGGGUUUGACGGAUAGCCGGCCUGGGAGGGUGACCGGCCACAAUGGUACUGAGAGACGGACCAGACUCCUACGGGAGGCAGCAGUGGAGAAUAUUGCACAAUGGGCGGAAGCCUGAUGCAGCAACGCCGCGUGCGGGAUGACGGCCUUCGGGUUGUAAACCGCUGUCGCCUGUGACGAAGCGUGAGUGACGGUAAUGGGUAAAGAAGCACCGGCUAACUACGUG
rnacentral:rRNA from 1 species